UACGUAGGGUCCGAGCGUUGUCCGGAAUUACUGGGCGUAAAGAGCUCGUAGGUGGUUUGUCGCGUUGUUCGUGAAAACUCACAGCUCAACUGUGGGCGUGCGGGCGAUACGGGCAGACUAGAGUACUGCAGGGGAGACUGGAAUUCCUGGUGUAGCGGUGGAAUGCGCAGAUAUCAGGAGGAACACCGGUGGCGAAGGCGGGUCUCUGGGCAGUAACUGACGCUGGAGGAGCGAAAGCGUGGGGAGCGAACAGGAUUAGAACCUACCGUAGUCAG
rnacentral:rRNA from 1 species